UACGUAUGGGGCAAGCGUUAUCCGGAUUUACUGGGUGUAAAGGGAGUGUAGGCGGUACGGCAAGUCAGAAGUGAAAGCCUGGGGCUCAACCCCGGAAUUGCUUUUGAAACUGUCGAACUAGAGUGUCGGAGGGGUAAGCGGAAUUCCUAGUGUAGCGGUGAAAUGCGUAGAUAUUAGGAGGAACACCAGUGGCGAAGGCGGUUUACUGGACGACUACUGACGCUGAGGCUCGAAAGCGUGGGGAG
rnacentral:rRNA from 1 species